GCAUGUUUGCUGAUGAUCUGGAGUAGUCCAAAGAAUCAACAGACAUCGAUCGAAGGAGUUCGAUCAGCAUCGACCGUCGAAAGGGACUCUACAAUGGGCUAGCACUCGUGAGGAGUCGAUCAGAUCGGAAGCUUCGUGUGGAUGAUCCGUAGAGGCCAGACACACUAUGUGGCUGCAUCAGGAUGAUCAGACUCUCCCGACGGUA
rnacentral:lncRNA from 1 species